rnacentral:rRNA from 1 species
GACGAACGCUGGCGGCGUGCCUAAUACAUGCCAGUAGAACGCACAGUUUAUACCGUAGCUUGCUACACCAUAAACUGUGAGUUGCGAACGGGUGAGUAACGCGUAGGUAACCUGCCUGGUAGCGGGGGAUAACUAUUGGAAACGAUAGCUAAUACCGCAUAAUAUUGGUUAUUGCAUGAUAAUUGAUUGAAAGAUGCUAUUGCAUCACUACCAGAUGGACCUGCGUUGUAUUAGCUAGUAGGUGAGGUAACGGCUCACCUAGGCGACGAUACAUAGCCGACCCGAGAGGGUGAUCGGCCACACUGGGACUGAGACACGGCCCAGACUCCUACGGGAGGCAGCAGUAGGGAAUCUUCGGCAAUGGACGAAAGUCUGACCGAGCAACGCCGCGUGAGUGAAGAAGGUUUUCGGAUCGUAAAGCUCUGUUGUAAGAGAAGAACGGGUGUGAGAGUGGAAAGUUCACACUGUGACGGUAUCUUACCAGAAAGGGACGGCUAACUACGUG